rnacentral:lncRNA from 1 species
CUGGAGCUCGUGCGCCAGUAACCCAUUCUGGCGUAGUGUUUACUCCCAUCCCCGUUGGAGGCUAGCUGGUUGUGUUGCAAAGAAGUACAAUGCCCAGUCGGAGGCAGAGAAGCUGAAGAAGAGGAUGGACGGCAGCAAGGGCUACCUAGCUCAUGCAGCUAGUCGACAGCUAGUCGUCACACGAUGUACCCUUACGUUGUAUUUCUAGUUUUCUAGAUCCUCUGAACCCUACCUCCAAGCUCUAGUUUUUUUUUAGAGGAACCUCCAAGCUCUACUGUUAUUUCUGUGUUUAUCUUCUGUUCGGUUUUCUGCCCAGUUUUCCUUAUUUUUUUUUCGAGAUUGACAGGGAGAUUACUCCCCACCGGUUAUUGCAUUACUCAAAAAUGCAACCUGUUGGCUGUCAAGCCCCCGAGGGGGUUGCAUCAAACUACAAGUAGACGAAGAUCUACCCGUGAAGAGAGAGAGGGGGGGGGGGGCAGACGGAAUUAGAUACAAUUUAGGAGGAACGCCCGGGCAUGGAGAACGUCCUCCCUGUCCUUGGGCUUGAAACGGUGGCUCCACGUAGCCAGGUAAGACGCCGCACGGCUGAUGAUCUCAGUGACGGAGCAGGUGAUGGCGUUGAAGACGAUAUCAUUCCGCGCCUUCCAAAUGUGCCAGAGGAUGGAGCAGAUAUAGGAAGUCCACGAGUGUUGAUUGAUCUCCGGGGGAGCUGCAAGGUCCCAGACCCUAACCAUGGCGUCGAAGUGUUGGUCGAUUCCAAGAUGCGACCAGACAGCAGAGGCCCGCGGGCAACGUAAGAAGAGGUGAAUGCCAGUCUCCGGUGCACUGCAGGAGGCGCAUUCGUCCGAGGGGGCACAGUUCUUGUAGCUAGAAGAGGUUACUGUGAGUAUUGAGCCUAUCUUCAGUUGCCAGGCGAGCGAAAAUCUUGAU